rnacentral:rRNA from 1 species
UGGGGAAUAUUGCACAAUGGGCGCAAGCCUGAUGCAGCCAUGCCGCGUGUAUGAAGAAGGCCUUCGGGUUGUAAAGUACUUUCAGCGGGGAGGAAGGGAGUAAAGUUAAUACCUUUGCUCAUUGACGUUACCCGCAGAAGAAGCACCGGCUAACUCCGUGCCAGCAGCCGCGGUAAUACGGAGGGUGCAAUCGUUAAUCGGAAUUACUGGGCGUAAAGCGCACGCAGGCGGUUUGUUAAGUCAGAUGUGAAAUCCCCGGGCUCAACCUGGGAACUGCAUCUGAUACUGGCAAGCUUGAGUCUCGUAGAGGGGGGUAGAAUUCCAGGUGUAGCGGUGAAAUGCGUAGAGAUCUGGGGGAAUACCGGUGGCGAAGGCGGCCCCCUGGACGAAGACUGACGCGCAGGUGCGAAAGCGUGGGGAGCAAACAGG